AAACACAGGCGGGACAGCCAGAGGGGAUCAAAGCUCACUGCAGUACAAUGAGAACACUUACAUUUUAAAUCUGAAAACAAUGGUCUUCUCCAUGAGACGUCCACCAAAGGUAUCCAUAUUUUCUUUUAUUCUCUGCCUGCUGUGAUCGUUGUCAAUGGUUCUUAGCCAUUUAUUACCAAAAUAGGUUCUAUUGUUAUGCUUCAU
rnacentral:misc_RNA from 1 species